AUGAACGCUAGCGACAGGCUAACACAUGCAAGUCGAGGGGUAACAGGGUAGCAAUACCGCUGACGACCGGCGCACGGGUGAGUAACGCGUAUGCAACCUGCCUAUAACUGGGGAAUAGCUCCCUGAAAGGGGAAUUAACACCGCAUAACACUAUUGAUUCGCAUGGAUUAGUAGUUAAAUGUAGCGAUACAGGUUAUAGAUGGGCAUGCGUGACAUUAGCUAGUUGGUGAGGUAACGGCUCACCAAGGCUACGAUGUCUAGGGGUUCUGAGAGGAAGGUCCCCACCACUGGUACUGAGACACGGACCAGACUCCUACGGGAGGCAGCAGUGAGGAAUAUUGGUCAAUGGGCGCAAGCCUGAACCAGCCAUGUCGCGUGCAGGAAGACUGCCCCCUAUGGGUUGUAAACUGUCUUUUAUAGUAGAAGAAACACAUCUACGAGUAGAUGUCUGCCAGUAUACUAUGAAUAAGCAUCGGCUAACUCCGUGCCAGCAGCAGC
rnacentral:rRNA from 1 species